GAUGAACGCUAGCGGCAGGCUUAAUACAUGCAAGUCGAGGGGCAGCAUGAUUGUAGCAAUACAAUUGAUGGCGACCGGCAAACGGGUGCGGAACACGUACACAACCUCCCAAUAAGUGGGGAAUAGCCCAGAGAAAUUUGGAUUAAUACCCCGUAACAUAACGAUGUGGCAUCACAUUGUUAUUAUAGAUUUUUCGCUUAUUGAUGGGUGUGCGGCUGAUUAGAUAGUUGGCGGGGUAACGGCCCACCAAGUCUACGAUCAGUAGCUGAUGUGGGAGCAUGAUCAGCCACACGGGAGCUGAGACACGGCCCCGACUCCUACGGGAGGCAGCAGUAAGGAAUAUUGGACAAUGGACGCAAGUCUGAUCCAGCCAUGCCGCGUGAAGGAUUAAGGUCCUCUGGAUUGUAAACUUCUUUUAUAAGGGACGAAAAAAGGCUUUUCUAAGUCGUCUGACGGUACCUUAUGAAUAAGCACCGGCUAACUCCGUGCCAGCAGCCGCCGUAAUAC
rnacentral:rRNA from 1 species